rnacentral:rRNA from 1 species
GACGAACGCUGGCGGCGUGCUUAACACAUGCAAGUCGAACGGAAAGGCCCUGCUUUUGUGGGGUGCUCGAGUGGCGAACGGGUGAGUAACACGUGAGUAACCUGCCCUUGACUUUGGGAUAACUUCAGGAAACUGGGGCUAAUACCGGAUAGGAGCUCCUGCUGCAUGGUGGGGGUUGGAAAGUUUCGGCGGUUGGGGAUGGACUCGCGGCUUAUCAGCUUGUUGGUGGGGUAGGGGCUUACCAAGUCUUUGACUGGUAGCCCGCCUGAGAGGGUGACCGGCCACCUUGGGACUGCGAUACGGCCCAGACUCCUACGGUAGGCAGCAGUGGGGAAUAUUGCACAAUGGGCGGAAGCCUGAUGCAGCAACGCCGCGUUCGUGAUGACGGCCUGCUGGUUGUAAACCGCUUUCGCCUGUGACGAAGCGUGAGUGACGGUAAUGGGUAAAGAAGCACCGGCUAACUACGUG